GCCAGCCCGCUCAGAAACUCAAAGGAAUUGACGGGGCCCGCACAAGCGGAGGAGCAUGUGGUUAAUUCGAUGAUACGCGAGGAACCUUACCUGGGCUCGAACGUAAGAUGACUGUAGGUGAAAGCUUACAUCUCUUCGGAGCAUUUUACGAGGUGCUGCAUGGUUGUCGUCAGCUCGUGCCGUGAGGUGUCGGGUUAAGUCCCAUAACGAGCGCAACCCCUACCUUUAGUUGCCAUCAGGUAAUGCUGGGGACUCUAAAGGAACUGCCUACGCAAGUAGUGAGGAAGCGGGGAUGACGUCAAAUCAGCACGGCCCUUACGUCCAGGGCUACACACGUGCUACAAUGGCCGAUACAGAGGGCAGCUACCUGGUGACAGGAUGCAAAUCUCCAAAGUCGGUCUCAGUUCGGAUCGGAGUCUGCAACCCGACUCCGUGAAGUUGGAUUCGCUAGUAAUCGCGCAUCAGCCAUGGCGCGGUGAAUACGUUCCCGGGCCUU
rnacentral:rRNA from 1 species